rnacentral:rRNA from 1 species
CGGACGGGUGAGUAAUGUCUGGGAAACUGCCCGAUGGAGGGGGAUAACUACUGGAAACGGUAGCUAAUACCGCAUAACAUCGCAAGACCAAAGAGGGGGACCUUCGGGCCUCUUGCCAUCGGAUGUGCCCAGAUGGGAUUAGCUAGUAGGUGGGGUAACGGCUCACCUAGGCGACGAUCCCUAGCUGGUCUGAGAGGAUGACCAGCCACACUGGAACUGAGACACGGUCCAG